CUGGCGGCGUGCCUAAUACAUGCAAGUCGAACGAGUUCUGAUUAUUGAAAGGUGCUUGCAUCUUGAUUUAAUUUUGAACGAGUGGCGGACGGGUGAGUAACACGUGGGUAACCUGCCCUUAAGUGGGGGAUAACAUUUGGAAACAGAUGCUAAUACCGCAUAAAUCCAAGAACCGCAUGGUUCUUGGCUGAAAGAUGGCGUAAGCUAUCGCUUUUGGAUGGACCCGCGGCGUAUUAGCUAGUUGGUGAGGUAACGGCUCACCAAGGCAAUGAUACGUAGCCGAACUGAGAGGUUGAUCGGCCACAUUGGGACUGAGACACGGCCCAAACUCCUACGGGAGGCAGCAGUAGGGAAUCUUCCACAAUGGACGCAAGUCUGAUGGAGCAACGCCGCGUGAGUGAAGAAGGCUUUCGGGUCGUAAAACUCUGUUGUUGGAGAAGAAUGGUCGGCAGAGUAACUGUUGUCGGCGUGACGGUAUCCAACCAGAAAGCCACGGCUAACUACGUGCCAGCAGCCGCGGUAAUACGUAGGUGGCAAGCGUUAUCCGGAUUUAUUGGGCGUAAAGCGAGCGCAGGCGGUUUUUUAAGUCUGAUGUGAAAGCCCUCGGCUUAACCGAGGAAGUGCAUCGGAAACUGGGAAACUUGAGUGCAGAAGAGGACAGUGGAACUCCAUGUGUAGCGGUGAAAUGCGUAGAUAUAUGGAAGAACACCAGUGGCGAAGGCGGCUGUCUGGUCUGUAACUGACGCUGAGGCUCGAAAGCAUGGGUAGCGAACAGGAUUAGAUACCCUGGUAGUCCAUGCCGUAAACGAUGAAUGCUAGGUGUUGGAGGGUUUCCGCCCUUCAGUGCCGCAGCUAACGCAUUAAGCAUUCCGCCUGGGGAGUACGACCGCAAGGUUGAAACUCAAAGGAAUUGACGGGGGCCCGCACAAGCGGUGGAGCAUGUGGUUUAAUUCGAAGCAACGCGAAGAACCUUACCAGGUCUUGACAUCUUUUGAUCACCUGAGAGAUCAGGUUUCCCCUUCGGGGGCAAAAUGACAGGUGGUGCAUGGUUGUCGUCAGCUCGUGUCGUGAGAUGUUGGGUUAAGUCCCGCAACGAGCGCAACCCUUAUGACUAGUUGCCAGCAUUUAGUUGGGCACUCUAGUAAGACUGCCGGUGACAAACCGGAGGAAGGUGGGGAUGACGUCAAAUCAUCAUGCCCCUUAUGACCUGGGCUACACACGUGCUACAAUGGAUGGUACAACGAGUUGCGAGACCGCGAGGUCAAGCUAAUCUCUUAAAGCCAUUCUCAGUUCGGACUGUAGGCUGCAACUCGCCUACACGAAGUCGGAAUCGCUAGUAAUCGCGGAUCAGCACGCCGCGGUGAAUACGUUCCCGGGCCUUGUACACACCGCCCGUCACACCAUGAGAGUUUGUAACACCCGAAGCCGGUGGCGUAACCCUUUUAGGGAGCGAGCCGUCUAAGGUGGGACAAAUGAUUAGGGUGAAG
rnacentral:rRNA from 1 species